rnacentral:misc_RNA from 1 species
AUUAAAGCCAUUAAUGGUGCUGUUGAAUGCAAUGGAAAAGAACCUGCCAAAGUUAAAGCUAGAAUUGAUCUCUACACUAAAUAUUGCGGCCAAUUUGGUGUUUCUCCAGGGGGUAAUCUCCAAUGCUGAGAUACUUUUGCAUUGAAGAAGUCAGAAUAAUAAAUGCACGUACGCCAAUCCUGCUAGCUUAGAUGAUAUCCUUAUUUAUGAGUGGGUCGAGUUUGAAUUUUCUUAUUGGUCAAUGGUCAUGUCUUGUACUGACUGAAUUAUUAUGUAAG